GACAGAGGGUGCAAACGUUGCUCGGAAUUACUGGGCGUAAAGCGCGUGUAGGCGGUCACGCAAGUCAGGUGUGAAAGCCCAGGGCUCAACCCUGGAAGUGCACAUGAUACUACGUGGCUGGAGUACUGAAGAGGAGAGCGGAAUUCCCGGUGUAGAGGUGAAAUUCGUAGAUAUCAGGAGGAACACCGGUGGCGAAGGCGGGUCUCUGGGGCCGAUGACUGACGCUGAGGAGCGAAAGCGUGGGGAGCGAACAGG
rnacentral:rRNA from 1 species